rnacentral:pre_miRNA from 1 species
CAACUGAAAGUGAGAGUUGGAGGAAAACAAACUAGUUCUCCAGAUGGACAAUCAUGGUCCUAGAUAAGCUUGUUUUCCUCCAAUAUCUCACCUUCGCUCA